GUCUAAGGCUACACUACCCAGAAUGAGCCUGAUCUCAUCUGAUCUUGGAAGCUAAGCAGGAUCAGGCCUGGCUAGCUCUUGGACAGGAGAGUCUCAGCUCCUAUAUGCU
rfam:Homo sapiens chromosome 10, GRCh38 reference primary assembly.